rnacentral:rRNA from 1 species
AUGACGACGCAGCCGGCGGUGGGCGACCCUCUGUCGGACCUAUGGGAGCACCUGAUGUCGCCGAACAGGACGCACCUGUCCUGCUUCUACCCGAGCAAGAUCACCAUGAGCGGCAUCUGGACCGGCGACAACCCGCUCGACUUCUCCCUCCCGCUCAUCCUCUUCCAGAUGCUCCUCAUCACCUCCACCACCCGCGCCGCCACCCUCCUCCUCUCCCCGCUCGGCCUCCCCCGCUACAUCUCGGAGAUACUCGGCGGCUUCGUUCUCGGGCCCUCGGUGCUCGGCCGGCUCCCGCACUAUACCGACAUCGUUUUCCCCCCGCGCAGCAUCUUCAUCCUCGACUCCAUGGCCCUCCUCGGCCUCGUCUACUACAGCUUCACCAUCGGCGUCGAGAUCGAGGUGCCCACCAUCACCCGCGCCGGCUUCCGCAGCUUCUGGUUCGCCGGCGCGUCGGCGCUCCUGCCUUUCCUUAUCGGCGCCACCACCGGCUACGUCGCCCUCGGCACCGACGAUUCCCGUCAGAAUGCUGACUUCGUCGACAAACUCUCCUUUCCCAUCUUCCUCGGGUCCACCUUCGCCUCCACCGCCUUCUCCGUGCUCGCCCGCAACAUCGCCGAGCUCAAGCUCGCCGGUACCGACGUCGGCCAGAUCACGCUCUCCACCGCCCUCAUCAACGACACUAUCGCGUGGACUGGGCUCACCGUCGCCACGGCGCUCUUGUACGCGGAGGACAGUGGGUUGCUCUCGUCCGUGUGGACGCUCCUGUCGGGGCUUGUCAUCUUCGGCGCGAGUGUCCUCCUGGUCCGGCCCGCGCUCGUGCGGCUGGCGCAACGCGCAACCACCGAGGGGGAGGUAAUCGGUGAGGAGCGCGAGUGCGCCGUGCUUGUCGGCGUCAUGGUGGCAGCUCUCGUGGCGGACGCCGGGGGCACACACGUCAUCUUUGGGGCCUUCGUGUUUGGGCUCGCCGUGCCCAACGGGCCCGUCGGCGUGGAGCUGGUGGAGAAGGUGGAGGACUACGUGGUGGGGACGCUACUCCCGCUCUUCUUCGCCAUGUCCGGCCUCCGCACGGACACCUCCAAAGUUACGAGCAUGGAGGCCGCCGUGCUGCUGAUGGUUGCCACCUUUGCCGCGGCGGUGUUGAAGGUGGUCGCUUGCAUCGGUGUGGCCGCGGGGUUCGGCAUGCCGCUGCACGACGGCACGUCCAUUGGGCUGCUGCUCAACACCAAGGGGGUCAUCGAGCUCGUCAUCCUCAACAUUGCAAGAAACAAAAAGAUCAUGAGCGACCAGUCGUUCACGGUGCUGGUGUUCAUGUCGGCGCUGAUCACGGCGCUGGUGAGCCCGUUGCUGACCAUGGUUGUCAAGCCGGCACGGCGCCUCGUCUUCUACAAGCGGCGCACCGUGGCGUGGCCGCAGCCGGACGCCGAGCUCCGCGUGCUCGCCUGCGUGCACGUGCCCCGCGACGCCCCCGCAGCCAUCACGCUCGUCGACGUCCUGUGGCCCUCGCGGCGCUCACCCAUCGCCGUGCACGCCCUUCACCUCAUCGAGUUCGCCGGUCGCGCCUCGGCCCUCCUCUUGAUCAACGCCGCUGCCCCGGCCGCCUCUUCCUCCGAGUUCUCGGACCAGGGCCGGAGCCACGUGGAGAUGCAGUUCAAGCACAUCGCCCACGCCUUCAUGGCUUACGUGGAGAACCACGCGCCAGGCGGCGUCUUGGCGCGCACCAUGGCCGCCGUGUCGCCGUACGCGUCCAUGCACGAGGACAUCACCGCCGCCGCCGAGGACCAGCACUCGGCGCUCAUCGUGCUCCCGUUCCACAAGCACCGGUCGGUGGACGGCGGCAUGGAGGUGUCCCACCCGGCGAUCCAGUCGCUGAACGCCAGCGUGCAGUCCUGCUCGCCAUGCACGGUGGCCAUCCUCGUCGACCGAAGCCUCGGCAACGGCGGCACCGCGCCGAGUGGAGCCGGCGGGUACCGCGUGGCGGCGCUCUUCUUCGGCGGGCGCGACGACCGCGAGGUGGUGGCCCUGGCCACCCGCAUGGCGCGCAACCCGGCCGUCGGCCUCACCGUGAUCCGCUUCGUCCAGAAGGGCAGGGCCGGCAGCAUGACCUCGAGCGAGUUCGACGCCCUCAAGGAGCGGAAGGCCGACGACGGGUGCAUGCGGGAGUUCCUGGACCGGGCCAACGCCGGCGGCGGGGGCGUGGAGUACUGCGAGAGGGGGGUGUUCAACGCGAGCGAGAUGGUGGCGGAGAUACGGAACGUGGAGGCGGCCGGGAAGGACCUUUUCUUGGUGAGCAGGACGCCGGGGGCGACGGGACUGACGGCCGGGAUGUCGGACUGGAGCGAGUGCCCGGAGCUGGGGCCGAUCGGGGACCUGCUUGUGUCCAAGGACUUCCAGACCAAGGCGUCCGUGCUGGUGGUGCAGUCCUACGGGAGGGCGGCGGCGUCGGCGGCGGCUGCGGCGUCGGCGUCUUCCGAAUUUGCUGUUGGCGAGGCCGUCUUGCCGGCGCCAGAGGCCAUCAUGCCGGCGACCUCCAUGGGGCACCCGCCAAGGCGCCCACGACAACAUUCACAUUCUGACCUUAUGCUUUGA